CUGGAUUACUUUUUGUCCAAAACUCACAAGAAAAGAGACAUUUCAUCGGCAUGAAGACGUGGUUACUGGGUGGUCUUCUUACCAUUUGCAGGUGCUUCCAGAGGUCUGCAUUGACUGUGUUCUUGUACUUGAACUCCUCCAAGUACGUCUGCAGACCACACCCAGCAUUAUUCACAUCAUCAUCAAUGAUGCCCUCAAGUAUCAAACACCCACAUGCAGUCCUUUGGAGAAGACUUCCUCUGUGAUGAACUCCGACAGCAUCCUGAGGACGGCGGCGCCCUAAAGGGCGGGCAGAAAGGAGUUGGAAGCCGCAAAAGUAGCGCGUGAGCCGAGUGGCGUUUGAGAGCACCUUGCUGUACGUGAUGCCGUCGAAGAGUUGAUCGAUCUGCUCCGGCUCCUGCACGUCCUCCUCCUUCAACGAGAGAGGGUGGGACGAGGCCAUGGAGUCCUCCGCCAUCACGCCAAUGACCUCAUUCAGGACUAUUAAGUCUUUCUGGGGGGAGAGGAAGUGCCCAUGUUUGGCGUUCCUGGGGCGGAGCAACAUGAGAGCACCUGACUCUACGCGCUAACCAGGCCUUCAUGAGCCAUGAAACUAUGGAGAAGCUGCUGAUGGUGUGUUUGACGGAGAAGCAGCUGGAAGGAGAUACUGUCCACUCUCCAAGGUGGGUUCUGCAUAGUGGACCCCCAGGUAGGACACGUAGGUGGCGAAUCCUUCAUUGAGCCACAAGUCGUUCCACCAGCGCAUGGUCACCAAGUUCCCAAACCACUGGCCAGACACAAAAGUCUUUUAUCAAAUGUGGACAUGACCGCCGUGCUGUGGAUCAUGUACUCACCAUGUGAGCCAGCUCGUGGGAGAUGACGGUGGCCACAUACUCUCGGUCGCCAUUGGAGGGCAGGCGAGGGUUGUACAGAAGGGCGUUCUCGUUGUAGGUGAUCAGGCCCCAGUUCUCCAUGCCUGCGGUAUUUAAGUCAGGUAAAGCGAUCUGGUCUACAAAGACAAAGACGUGGACACGGGUAUUGGGACUGUGGACAUUACACCUCCCCAAAACAGCGUGAGAUCUUUACCAGACUUCUCCAGAGGGUAGCGUGAGUUGUAGUAGCGUUCAAAGUACGCCAGGAUCGGUCCGGUCUUGGCCAGAGCGUAGGCCCCCUUACCCGCCUCUAUGGCCUGUCUGCGGGCCCAGAUCCUGAUCUGGAGAUAGCAACAGCUCAAUUACUGUCACUGGCAGUCCACUAGAGGGCGGCAAACAUCAACAUAUGACAGGAGCCAAAGAUGCUAGUCAAAGAUCCUCUAUAGAGGACUGGAGUGCUGUGUUGAUCUUAAGGACCAAAUAUAGUGGUGCCAAUCAAAGAUCGUCUAUAUUACAGGAGUGAUUGGCUGUGUUUAAGGGUCGCUGUAAAACUCUGGUCUUAUAAGAUAAAUACACAAGUGCUCUGCUGUAUUCUCAAAUCAAUGUCAGAAACCAACAUUGAUUAAACGUCGUCAAAAAAUAUGUUGUUUUAAUGUUGUAUUUGUGUUGUGAAAUGACCAAAAUUCAAGUCAAAUCAACGUCACGAACUUACAUUGAUUAAACGUCAAAAAGCAUGUUGUUUCAACGUUAUGUUCGACUUGCUCAAAGUCAGGACCUAAUUCAACAAGGGUUACACUCUUGUUUUAGGGAUCCGCUUCAAAAUGCUCGGCAAAGAUGCUUUAAAAAUGUUUGUUUUGUAGAAUAUUGGUUGGGAAAUUACCAAACUUCAAUGGUCAAAUCAACGUUAGAACCCAGCAUUGAUUAA